UAUGUAUUUAGAUCAUAGAUAUCUUAUAUACACUAGAUAAUGCAUCUAAUUAUUCUGCAAUUCAAAAAUUGAAGCCGUGAUUGCAGACUCAGGAUAUUCCCAUGAAAUGAGAAGACUCGUAUGUUUUCUAUUUCUUAAACAGGGAACCUAAACAUUAAGUUAGACCUAUUCCAAAUACAUUUUCAAACUAUUCAAAUGAUGAAAGUUAAUGUUGUUUUUUAAACGUUUAUUAGGUUAGCGAGUGGGAAAGUUCAAC